rnacentral:rRNA from 1 species
UACGUAGGGUGCAAGCGUUGUCCGGAAUUAUUGGGCGUAAAGAGCUCGUAGGCGGUUUGUUGCGUCGGCUGUGAAAUCCCGAGGCUCAACCUCGGGUCUGCAGUCGAUACGAGCAAACUAGAGUGUUGCAGGGGAGACUGGAAUUCCUGGCGUAGCGGUGAAAUGCGCAGAUAUCAGGAGGAACACCGGUGGCGAAGGCGGGUCUCUGGGCAACAACUGACGCUGGAGAACGCGAAAAGCUAGGGGGAGCGAACAGG